rnacentral:rRNA from 1 species
AUUGAACGAUGGCGGCAGGCCUAACACAUGCAAGUCGAGCGGAGCGGCCGACGGGUGAGUAAUGCCUAGCAAUCUGCCUGGUAGUGGGGGAUAACGUCCGGAAACGGGCGCUAAUCCCGCAUACUAUCAGAUGAGCCUAGGUCCGUUUAGCUAGUGGGUGGGGUAAAGGCCUACCAAGGAGACGAUCCGUAACUGGGCUGACCGUCUGAUCAGUCACGCUGAACAUGAGGCACUGUCCAGACUCCUACGGGAGGCAGCAGUGGGUAAUGUUGGACAAUGGGCGAAAGCCUGAGCCAGCCAUGCCGCUUGUGUUAGGAAGGUCUUCGAAUUGUAAAGCACUUUAAGUUGGGAGGCGUUACCAACAGAAUAAGCACCGGCUAACUUCGUGCCAGCAGCCGCGGUAAUUC